GACGAACGCUGGCGGCGUGCUUAACACAUGCAAGUCGAACGGAAAGGCCCUGCUUUUGUGGGGUGCUCGAGUGGCGAACGGGUGAGUAACACGUGAGUAACCUGCCCUUGACUUUGGGAUAACUUCAGGAAACUGGGGCUAAUACCGGAUAGGAGCUCCUGCUGCAUGGUGGGGGUUGGAAAGUUUCGGCGGUUGGGGAUGGACUCGCGGCUUAUCAGCUUGUUGGUGGGGUAGUGGCUUACCAAGGCUUUGACGGGUAGCCGGCCUGAGAGGGUGACCGGCCACAUUGGGACUGGGGUUCGGGCCAAACUCCUACGGGAGGCAGCAGGGGGGAAUAAUGCACAAUGGGCGGAAGCCUGAUGCAGCAACGCCGCGGGCGGGAUGACGGCCUUCGGGUUGUAAACCGCUUUCGCCUGUGACGAAGCGUGAGUGACGGUAAUUGGUAAAGAAGCACCGGCUAACUACGUG
rnacentral:rRNA from 1 species